GAUGAAGAACGUAGCGAAAUGCGAUAAGUAGUGUGAAUUGCAGAAUUCAGUGAAUCAUCGAAACUUUGAACGCACAUUGCGCCCCUCGGUAUUCCGUGGGGCAUGCCUGUUCGAGCGUCAUUUAACCCCUCAAGCCUAGCUUGGUAUUGGGUGCUUGUCCCGCCUCUCGCGCGGCGACUCACCUCAAAGUCAUUGGCAGCCCGCAUCUCGCCGGCCGUGAGCGCAGCACAGACGCGCUCUUGGCAACGACGGAUCGGCUCUCCAAAAGCUUAUUUCAACCACUGACCUCGGAUCAGGUAGGGAUACCCGCUGAACUUAAGCAUAUCAAUAAGCGGAGGA
rnacentral:misc_RNA from 1 species